rnacentral:rRNA from 1 species
UUCCGGUUGAUCCUGCCGGACCCGACUGCUAUCGGAUUGAGAUUUAGCCAUGCGAGUCGAACGUCCCCCUGUUGCGGGGGGCGUGGCGUACGGCUCAGUAACACGUAGUCAACCUGCCCUGGAGACAAGGACAACCCCGGGAAACUGGGAUUAAUCCGUGAUAGGUCAUCUCAUCUGGAAGGAGAGAUGGCUUAAAGGGGUACGCGGGCUUCUUCUGCGUAUUCGCUCCAGGAUGGGACUGCGUCCGAUCAGGCUGUUGGCGGGGUAAUGGCCCACCAAACCUGUAACCGGUACGGGCCUUGAGAGAGGUGGCCCGGAGAUGGACACUGAGAGAAGGGUCCAGGUCCUACGGGGCGCAGCAGGCGCGAAACCUUCGCAAUGCGCGAAAGCGUGACGAGGUUAAUCCGAGUGACUCCCGCUGAGGGGGUCUUUUGUCAGCUGUAAAUAGGCAGGCGAAUAAGGGGAGGGCAAGCCUGGUGUCAGCCGCCGCGGUAAUACCAGCUCCUCGAGUGGUCGGGGCGAUUAUUGGGCCUAAAGCAUCCGUAGCCGGUUCCGUAGGUCCUCUGUUAAAUCCAACCGCUUAACGGUUGACCUGCAGAGGAUACCGCGGGACUAGGAGGCGGGAGAGGCGGACGGUAUUCCGCGUGUAGGGGUAAAAUCCUUUGAUCCGCGGAGGACCACCAGUGGCGAAGCGGUUCGCCAGAACGCGCUCGACGGUGAGGGAUGAAAGCUGGGGAGCGACCGGAUAGAUACCCGGGUAGUCCCAGCCGUAAACGAUGCUAGCUAGAUGAUCAUCGCAGUCGCGAUGAGUGUCGCAGGAGC